AUUGAACGCUGGCGGCAUGCUUUACACAUGCAAGUCGAACGGUAACAGGCCUUCGGGUGCUGACGAGUGGCGAACGGGUGAGUAAUGCAUCGGAACGUACCCAGAGGUGGGGGAUAACGCAGCGAAAGCUGUGCUAAUACCGCAUGUGAUCUGAGGAUGAAAGCGGGGGACCGAGCAGCAAUGUUUGGCCUCGCGCCUUGGGAGCGGCCGAUGUCGGAUUAGCUAGUUGGUGGGGUAAAGGCCUACCAAGGCGACGAUCCGUAGCUGGUCUGAGAGGACGACGAGCCACACUGGGACUGAGACACGGCAGAGACUCCUACGGGAGGAAGCAGCCGGGAAUUUUGGACAAUGGGCGCAAGCCUGAUCCAGCAAUGCCGCGUGAGGGAAGAAGGCCUUCGGGUUGGAAACCGCUUUUGGCAGGAACGAAACGGUGUCCGCUAAUACCGGGCGCUAAUGACGGUACCUGCAGAAUAAGCACCGGCUAACUACGUG
rnacentral:rRNA from 1 species